GACGAACGCUGGCGGCGUGCUUAACACAUGCAAGUCGUGCGGAAAGGCCCUUCGGGGUGCUCGAGCGGCGAACGGGUGAGUAACACGUGAGUGACCUGCCCUUGACUUUGGGAUAACCCCGGGAAACCGGGGCUAAUACCGGAUAGGACCUGCUGGCGCAUGCUGGGGGGUGGAAAGCUUUUGCGGUCAGGGAUGGGCUCGCGGCCUAUCAGCUUGUUGGUGGGGUGAUGGCCUACCAAGGCGAGGACGGGUAGCCGGCCUGGGAGGGCGACCGGCCACACUGGGACUGGGACACGGUCCAGACGCCUACGGGGGGCAGCAGUGGGGAAUAUUGCACAAUGGGCGCAAGCCUGAUGCAGCGACGCCGCGUGAGGGAUGACGGCCUUCGGGUUGUAAACCUCUUUCAGCGGGGACGAAGCCGCAAGGUGACGGUACCCGCAGAAGAAGCGCCGGCCAACUACGUGCCAGCAGCCGCCGUAAUAC
rnacentral:rRNA from 1 species